AUUGAACGCUGGCGGCAGGCCUAACACAUGCAAGUCGAACGGUAACAGGAAGCAGCUUGCUGCUUCGCUGACGAGUGGCGGACGGGUGAGUAAUGUCUGGGAAGCUGCCUGAUGGAGGGGGAUAACUACUGGAAACGGUAGCUAAUACCGCAUAAUGUCGCAAGACCAAAGAGGGGGACCUUCGGGCCUCUUGCCAUCGGAUGUGCCCAGAUGGGAUUAGCUUGUUGGUGGGGUAACGGCUCACCAAGGCGACGAUCCCUAGCUGGUCUGAGAGGAUGACCAGCCACACUGGAACUGAGACACGGUCCAGACUCCUACGGGAGGCAGCAGUGGGGAAUAUUGCACAAUGGGCGCAAGCCUGAUGCAGCCAUGCCGCGUGUAUGAAGAAGGCCUUCGGGUUGUAAAGUACUUUCGGCGGGGAGGAAGGGAGUAAAGUUAAUACCUUUGCGCAUUGACGUUACCCGAAGAAGAAGCACCGGCUAACUCCGUG
rnacentral:rRNA from 1 species